rnacentral:rRNA from 1 species
UGCCAGCAGCCGCGGUGAUACGUAGGGUGCGAGCGUUGUCCGGAUUUAUUGGGCGUAAAGGGCUCGUAGGUGGUUGAUCGCGUCGGAAGUGUAAUCUUGGGGCUUAACCCUGAGCGUGCUUUCGAUACGGGUUGACUUGAGGAAGGUAGGGGAGAAUGGAAUUCCUGGUGGAGCGGUGGAAUGCGCAGAUAUCAGGAGGAACACCAGUGGCGAAGGCGGUUCUCUGGGCCUUUCCUGACGCUGAGGAGCGAAAGCGUGGGGAGCGAACAGGCUUAGAUACCCUGGUAGUCCACGCUGUAAACGGUGGGUACUAGGUGUGGGGUCCAUUCCACGGGUUCCGCGCCGUAGCUAACGCUUUAAGUACCCCGCCUGGGGAGUACGGCCGCAAGGCUAAAACUCAAAGGAAUUGACGGGGGCCCGCACAAGA